rnacentral:rRNA from 1 species
UACGGGGGGGGCAAGCGUUGUUCGGAAUUACUGGGCGUAAAGGGCUCGUAGGCGGCCAACUAAGUCAGACGUGAAAUCCCUCGGCUCAACCGGGAACUGCGUCUGAUACUGGAUGGCUUGAAUCCGGAAGAGGGAUGCGGAAUUCCAGGUGUAGCGGUGAAAUGCGUAGAUAUCUGGAGGAACACCGGUGGCGAAGGCGGCAUCCUGGGUCGGAAUUGACGCUGAGGAGCGAAAGCCAGGGGAGCAAACGGG